rnacentral:tRNA from 1 species
AAAUCCUUAAGUUAAUUAAACUAUUAACCUUCAAAGUUAAAAAUGUGAACAAUCACAGGUUUUA